rnacentral:rRNA from 1 species
AUUGAACGCUGGCGGCAUGCUUUACACAUGCAAGUCGAACGGCAGCACGGGAGCUUGCUCCUGGUGGCGAGUGGCGAACGGGUGAGUAAUACAUAGGAACGUAUCCUGUAGUGGGGGAUAACGCAGCGAAAGCUGUGCUAAUACCGCAUACGAUCUACGGAAGAAGGCGGGGGACCUGCAAGGGCCUCGCGCUAUUGGAGCGGCCUAUGUCUGAUAGCUAGUUGGUGAGGUAAAGGACUCACCAAGGCGACGAUCAGUAGCUGGUCUGAGAGGAUGAUCAGCCACACUGGAACUGAGACACGGUCCAGACUCCUACGGGAGGCAGCAGUGGGGAAUUUUGGACAAUGGGGCAACCCUGAUCCAGCCAUGCCGCGUGAGUGAAGAAGGCC